AUUUACCGCUGAAAGGCUGUUUUUAACCGGGAAAAUAAUUUUUUAGUUUAUAACUAGAAAUUUAAAUUUAAAUUAUUAAAAAAACAAAAUCUGGCAUGUCGUAGGCGUACUCCACGGAGAAGGGUUUGUCCAGCGUGACCUUCUAGAAGAGCGUUUCCGUCUCGAGCGGGCUGAGGCCUGAGCCCAAGGCUGAGCCCGAGCCAGACUGGAUGCUGGACGGGGUGCGGACGGCGGGGGCAGAAGCCGAUCUGUUGUUGGCACAUGGUGAAUGUGGAGCUGGCGACGACGGCGAACGAGUGGUUGAGGUUGGCGAUGGCGGUUUUCUUGUGGGAAGGGAGGGAUGAUUUUGCAGAUGCCGUACUUGGAAGCUUCCUUCUCGAUCUUGAAUAUGUAGCCAAUUGGAUGUUGGAAAAAGAAAUCUACUAGUGGUUGAUGAUGUUGUUUAUCGUGAAAGAGAGACGGGGAUGGUGGUCAGAAAAUAUUCAACAAUGAUUAGCUCCGUUAAAGCAUAUAGAGGAGGAGUUAAAAAAAAAGAAGGAAAGAAACCUGCUAAAUAAGUUGGCUCUACAGUUUAAAAAAAAGGUGAAAGGACCAAUGAUCUAGGGUAUAAAUGCUACCGAAGAAGAUGGAGGCCAAAGUAGAUACUCUGGAGAACAAGGUGACAAACAGCAAAACAACACUUGUAGCAAUGCAAGCGAAGGUAGAUGAAAAUUAGGAGAAGUUGAUUGCAUUAAUUACAAAGAACAUGGAGGGUGAUAAUUAAGAAAAACUUACAAGUAUGAUCACGUAAAGCAUUGAAUCCUGUCAAAUUAGGUUGUCGAGUGUGAAGAAUUUACAAGGAGAGACAUUGGAUGAAUUUUGUCAAUCAACAAAGAAGGUGAAAUUGCCAUUGUUCACCGAAGAAGACUCAACGAGAUGGAUUGCACGCCGAAGUCUAUUUUCAUGUACGAGAAACAAGUCGGUGAGCUUAGCACAACUUUGUAUGAAGGGUUCAACAAUCCAUUUCUUCGAAUCACUAAAUGAAGAGACAGAGUUGACAUGGGAGCAAUUGAAACACGAGUUGUUAGAACACUAUGGCGAAAUUGACAAGGGGGAUAUUUUCGAGCAACUUGCGGCAUUACAAGAAGUGAGGAGUGUAGAUGAAUAUGUACAAGAGGUUGAGAGGUUAUUUGUCAGGUUAGUCGCUUACUCAAUGACCAAUAUUUUGGAUAUUUCAUCCAUGGAUUGAAGGAAGGAAUUCGAGAGAGUUCAGAGCAUGCGUGCAAUAGGGCCUCUGCCAUGAUCACAUUUGAUCAAUUUGGCAAAGAGCAAUUGAGUGUGAGUUGAAAGAGAAAUUGGGUUGGACGACAUCACAAAGUUGAAGAGGAAAGACUAAUUUCAACCACAAUUCCCACUACCGUUCCACUCCACAUAGCUUGAUACAAACCCAUAGUGUGGGACGCAAUAAUAGUAACUAGUGGGUCUAUGUCUGAAGGGGUAAGGAGGUUAACCACUGAGGACAUAAUAGAGUUGUCUCCAAACAAGACUAGGUGCAUGAAUGGCAGAGGCAAGGACAUCAGGAUAGAGAUUUAAGGCAUUUGUCUUGCCAGGAAUUAGUGGAGAGAAAACAAAAAGGAUUUUGUUAUAAGUGUGGCGGACCGUUACAUCCUCUCCACCAAUUAGGGGUGUUCAUGGAUUAGAUUUUUGAAAAAUCCAAACCAAAUUGAACCAAUCCAUUUUAUAAAAACGGAUCAAUUAACUGAUCCAUUUUUUAUAGAGUAGAUUGAUUUGAUUUUUUUUAAAAUAUCGAUCGAUUUGUUUGAAAUUGGAUCAGUUCAGUGUGAUGCGGUUAUCCAUUUUUUACUCAUAUCGAUUGAUUUUUUAAAAAAAUUGAACCGAACUGAACCAAUCCACUUUGUAAAAAUGGAUCAGAUAAUUGAACUAUUUUUGUAAAGUAGAAUGGUUCGGAUUUUUUUUUUCAAAAUGGGUCAAAUUUUUCAAUGCGGAUCAAAUUGAUUAUGAAUCGGUUUGGAUUUUUUACACACCACUACCACCAAUGUCCCGAUCGCCAAUUGAGGAUUAUGGUGUUAGAUGAUGUGGAAGAAGAAAAAGGUGAAGCUAAUGUCAUUGCUAUAAAAGAAUAAGAUGACGGAGAGGAGAAGGGUGAGUGUAGCAUGAUGAAUUUAGGCAACUUAUGCACUGAUAAGGGGUGGAAACCACAAACUAUGAAGAUCCGUGGGACAAUUAAAUGGUUACCCUAUUCUUAUGCUAGUUGACAGUGGGGCAACCCACAACUUCAUCUCUAAAAAACUAGUGGCAGCAAUGGAUUGGCCAGUCAAAAAACACUAAAGCAAUGAGAAUUAAGUUAGGGGAUGGAUACAAAGCCUUGGUGCAAGGAGUUUAUAAGAAUGUUGAGUUGGAAGUAGGGAAAAUUGUGGUAGUUGUAGAUACAUUUCUCUUUGACUUAGAGGAAAUUGAUGUGAUUUUGGGUAUUUCUUAGUUGGCAUCCUUAGGAGGAAUGUGGAUAGAUUGGGGUAAGCAGUGCAUAUAGUUUCAAUUCAACAAACAAUGGGUGGAGCUUAAAGGAGAACCUAAUGGUUAUGCAAGCCAUUUUAGCUUUGUAGGCAUUUGUUGGGGAAUCAGUGAGGUGCACCUUUCAAUUCCAUUGGAGAAUGAGAAUGGAACAAAAGGGAUGGAGGAAUUAUUGGAGUUGAUCAAGAAAUAUUCGAAUGUUUUCAAGGAACCCAAAAGUUUGCCUCCAAAAAGGGAAAAGGAACAUACCAUUACCUUAUUUGAAGGACAGGGACCUGUGAAUGUGAGACCCAGUCAUUACGCACAUCACCAUAAAAAUGAAAUUGAAAGACAAGUCAAGUGAGGUGCACCUUUCAAUUCCAUUGGAGAAUGAGAAUGGAACAAAAGGGAUGGAGGAAUUAUUGGAGUUGAUCAAGAAAUAUUCGAAUGUUUUCAAGGAACCCAAAAGUUUGCCUCCAAAAAGGGAAAAGGAACAUACCAUUACCUUAUUUGAAGGACAGGGACCUGUGAAUGUGAGACCCAGUCAUUACGCACAUCACCAUAAAAAUGAAAUUGAAAGACAAGUCAAGUGAGGUGCACCUUUCAAUUCCAUUGGAGAAUGAGAAUGGAACAAAAGGGAUGGAGGAAUUAUUGGAGUUGAUCAAGAAAUAUUCGAAUGUUUUCAAGGAACCCAAAAGUUUGCCUCCAAAAAGGGAAAAGGAACAUACCAUUACCUUAUUUGAAGGACAGGGACCUGUGAAUGUGAGACCCAGUCAUUACGCACAUCACCAUAAAAAUGAAAUUGAAAGACAAGUCAAGGAGCUACUGAUUAACUACAUGCUGCUCAAUUUUUCUCUAAAUUAGACCUCAAAUUGGGUCGUCAUCUAGUGUGGGUCUGGGUUGAAGAUAUACAUAAAACAACAUUUAGAACUCGUGAAGGACAUUAUGAAUAUUUGGUAAUGCGAUUCGAAUUGAUGUGUUGAGAGAAAUGGUAAAUGGAAAGAACAUAUUUCUUGUGUAUUGCAAAACAAAAGAUAUGUUUAUAUACAAAGUAGUGGGCCUAGGCCCAUGAGAUAAAACUAUAUCUAACAUGAUGAAUGCACCUUCCACUUUCCAAUCUCUCAUGAAUGAAAUUUUUAAAGUCAUGCUAAGAAGGUAUGUGUUAUUUUUCUUUGAUGAUAUCUUGGUCUAUAAUCUUGACUGAGACACCCACAAGCAACACUUGCACAAUGUUUUGGAGUUGUUACAAACACAACUAGUAGUAAAUAAAAAAAAAUGUCAUUUCGCCCAAACUGCUUUUGAGUAUUUGAGACAUGUUAUCUCAAAAGAGGGGGUAGCCAUGGACCCUAGUAAAAUUAGAAGUGUGCUUCAAUGGCCUAUACCCAAGAACGUAAAAGGGGUGAGAGGUUUUUUGGGUUUAACGGACUAUUACCAAAAAUUUAUUCAAGAUUAUGGAAAACUAGCUAAGCCCCUAAUCGAGCUCACAAAGAAGGAUGGGUUUCAAUGGACUUAAGCUGCACAAGAGACAUUUGAGUUACGCAAGCAAAAGAUUACCUCAACCCCAAUGUUAGCAUUACCUUAUUUUACUCAAGAGUUCACCAUUGAAAGUGAUGCCUUUGGUCAAGGUUUAGGUGCCAUCCUAACACAAUGGCAAACCAAUAGCUUAUUUUAGUAAAGCUUUGGGAGAUAGGAAUCUAUCCAAGUUAGCUUAUGAGAAAGAGUUGAUGGUUGUGGCUUUAGCUAUCCAACAUUGAGACCCUAUUUACUAGGUCAAAACAUUGAUUGAAAGAGCUUACGUCAAUUGUUGCUACAAAGGGUAACAACCGGGGAUCAAUAAAAAUUGGGCAACCAAAUUGUUAGGAUAUACAUUUGACAUUGUUUACAAGCCAAGCUUAGAGAACAAGGGUACUGAUGCAUUGUCACGAAUGUAUGGAGAGGGGGAAUUCAAUUCUUUGAUACAUCAUACCAAUUGGAUUAAGGGAAGGAAGGUGAUAGAAGGGGUGCAUGAAGAUGAGAUACUCAAAUAUAUGAUCAAGGACUUUUAGUAGGGCAAGGAGACGAAGUAGGGAUUCUCUUAUCAAAAUGGGGUUUUGUUGUAUGAUGGGAGGUUGAUCAUCUCCAGUAAGUCUCCAUGGAUCCCUGUUCUACUUUAGGAGUUCCACUUCACAUCACAAGGAGGACAUUUGGGGUUUUACAGAACCUAUCAUUGUGUGGUAGCUAAUUUGUAUUGGAUAGGCAUGAAGAAAAGCAUUCAACAGUGGUGAUGGAGUGUGAUGUUUUCCAGAGACAAAAAUAUUUGGCUAUAGCUCUUGGGGGCUUAUUACAAUUGCUGAAUAUUCUUGAAAAAAUAUGGGAAGAAAUUUCCAUGGGCUUCUUAACUGGUUUACCUAGAUCCAAAGGGUAUGAAGCGAUUUUGGUGGUUGUUGACAGGCUUUUUAAAUAUAGUCACUUCAUUCCUUUGAAACACCCAUACAUUGCUUGAACAGUGGCUAAAAUUUUCAUCAAGGAAGUGGUGAGGCUACAUGGUAUUCCAACAUCUAUUAAAAGUGAUUGAGAUCCAAUUUUUGUAGUAACUUUUGGGAGAUAUUCAAAUUGCAGGGCACUCAUUCACAGAUGAGCAUAGCAUACCAUCCUCAAAUGGAUGGACAAACUGAGGUAAUUAAUCAUUGUUUAGAGACAUUCCUACGAUGUUUUAUUGCAGACCAACCUAAGACUUGGGUGCAAUGGUUAUCAUGGGUUGAGUACUAGUACAAUACUACUGUACAUGCAUCCAUCGAGACCACACCCUUUGAGACCAUCUAUGGGGGAGCACCCCCUGUCAUCAUUCAUUUUUUACAAGGGGAGACCAAAGUGGAAGCAGUCCAAAGGGAACUCUUGGAUAGAGAUGAGGCAUUGCGACAACUCAAAUACCAUUUGCAAAGGGCUCAAAAUAGGAUGAAGGUUCAGGUUGAUCAUAAGCAGCAGGAACAAAAUUUUGCAAAUGGAGACUGGAUCUUCUUGAAGUCAAGACCUCAUGGAUAACAAACAAUAAGAGAACAAAUCUGUUCAAAGCUGGCUCCUAGAUACUAUGGUCCAUUUCAAGUCAUCGAAAAGGUUGGGGUUGUGGCUUAGAGACUUAAAUUGCCUGAUUCAUCUCGAAUUCAUCUUGUAUUUCAGGUGUCAUUGUUGAAGAAAGCCAUUGGAGACUAUUGGGUGGAGAAGGAACUUCCUCAAGGAAUGGAAGGGGACUCUGCACAUUAAUAUGAACCUAUUGAUGUCCUCGUUACUAGAACAGUGACUAAAGGAGGAGAUUCUAUCCAUCGGUUGCUAAUACAAUGGAAGGACAAGGCUGUAGAGGAGGCCAUAUGAGAUGAGGAAUUCAACAUUUGGAGUUAGUUUCCUAAUUUCAGACUAGAGGACAAGUCUAAUUUUCUAGAGGGGAGCAAUUAUAGGACCUUAGAUUGUCAUUUGGGCCUUGAUGGGCCAUUAGCACAUCAAUUGACCAAGCCUAAAGUGUGGAGAGUGUAUGUCACGAGAAACAAAAGAGGCAAAGGGGAGAAUGUUGACGUGGCAGAGAGAGGAGUGGAACAAUUUGGGUGGGGGAGUUUUCUAUUGUAUUGGUAGAGUAAGGGGGGAUGACACUUUUGGGAACGAUUCAAGAAAUUAGUUAUGGACAGAGAGCAUUAUCCCACUGUAGGAGCUCAACUCUGUGGUAGUGGAAUAUCCAUUCCACUGUAACUUUUCUUGUUAUUCAGCAAAAAUAAUACAACAGUUACUCAUAUACUUUUGUUUUGCCUUGUUAUUCAGUAUAUGGUUCUGGGUUUUUAACAUGUCUAGAGCAUGCUUCCUUUGAGAAAUUACCGGUCUGUCUUUGGAUUAGGCCACCUCAAUACCUAAGAAAUACCGAACCUUCCCAUGGUCCUUGAUUUGAAAUUGUCUCGAGAGGUAUCGUUUGAGAUUAAUAUUAUAAUAAUGUCAUCCACAAUUCCACAUCUAUAAUGAGGUAGAUGUACACUUGAGGGCAAUGGCAAUUGGCGGUAGAAGACGCAAUGGUCGACUUCUUUAGGAGUCCGUCCAAAUUGUUGUACCAUAGUGUGAAAUUUGCCAAACCAAGCAUGAGGGAUCUGUUUAAGUACAUAGAAGGGUUUGUGAAGUUGGAAGACCAUGGUAGAGGAAAAUACAAUAUUCAAUUGAAACUGCACAGCAACCCACAACUAACCCCAACUAACAGAAAAUUAACCGAAUGAAAAUCGGUGUACAAUAUACUAGGACUCUGAGAAGAGCUCACUAUCACUUGACCUUGUAUUUCCUUUCUAAUAAAUGUUGUAAGUCAAUUCAUGUCUUCUUAUACUAACACUCGGUUGGAAGUACCAAUCCACAUUGUUAACUAUUUGAAGAAAGCUACAAGAAAAGGGAUUGUUUAUCAAGAUCAUGGACAUAUGAAGGUGGAGGCUUUCUCUAAUGCAAAUUAGGUAUGGUCUCUUAUGGACUGCAAAUUUACCAUAGGCUACUAUGUAUAUAUGGGAGGUAAUUUGAUCUCAUGGAAAAGUAAGAAGCAUAAUUUGGUGGUGAGAUCCUGUGUAGAAAGCUAUGGCUAAAACAACUUAUGAGUUAAUAUGGGCGAGAUAGAUUUUAGAGAUGGGAUUUACCAAGCUUCCAUAUAUAUCACAUCAAACCUAGUUUUUCAUGAAGUAACAAAGCAUAUUGAGGUAGAUUGUUACUUUAUCCGAGAAAAGAUCCAAGACAAUCUUAUAUCUACUUAUGUUAAGAUAGACAACCAACUAGCAGAUGUUUUUCCAAAAGCAUUGAAUGGGAUGUGUAGUGAUUUUAUUUGUUACAAGUUGAGCAUGAAUAACAUCUAUGCUUCAACUUGAGGAGAAGUGUUAAGAAUUAUUGUUAAGAAUAAAGGGUUUUAGUAUGUAUACGGGCUUGGCUCAUAUGCUUGUAUAUACUUAGCUUAGUAAUAUGAACAUGAGGGCUGCUACACAUUGCAGUGUAUUCAGUUACGGUUUACUCAUUUGUCUCCCUCUCUCUUAACAAAACCAUUGAUGGAUAGAGACAUAAGCUUUCUCGUAAAUUUGGGUGGAUUAAAAAGGGCACAAUCUUUCAAAGAGAUUACGAGACAGAUGUUUGUAUUAAGUUGUACAUCUAUCAACUUUAUUACCUAACACCAAUUUCUAAAACUAACCUC